AACGAACGCUGGCGGCAGGCUUAACACAUGCAAGUCGAGCGAGGACUUCGGUCCUAGCGGCGGACGGGUGAGUAACGCGUGGGAACGUGCCCCUUUCUUCGGAAUAGCCUCGGGAAACUGGGAGUAAUGCCGGAUACGCCGGAUCAUCGAGAGAUGGUCUGGGAAAGAUUUAUCGGAGAGGGAUCGGCCCGCGUUGGAUUAGGUAGUUGGUGGGGUAAUGGCCUACCAAGCCGACGAUCCAUAGCUGGUUUGAGAGGAUGAUCAGCCACACUGGGACUGAGACACGGCCCAGACUCCUACGGGAGGCAGCAGUGGGGAAUCUUGGACAAUGGGGGCAACCCUGAUCCAGCCAUGCCGCGUGAACGAUGAAGGCCUUAGGGUUGUAAAGUUCUUUCAGCGGGGAAGAUAAUGACGGUACCCGCAGAAGAAGCCCCGGCUAACUCCGUGCCAGCAGCCGCAGUAACAC
rnacentral:rRNA from 1 species